UGCGUAGGUGGCGGGGUAAGUUUGAUGUGAAAGCUCCGAGCUUAACUCGGAAAUUGCAUUGAAUACUAUCCUGCUCGAGGGUUGAAGGGGGGACUGGAAUUCUCGGUGUAGCAGUGAAAUGCGUAGAUAUCGAGAGGAACACCAGUGGCGAAGGCGAGUCCCUGGACAACUCCUGACACUGAGGCACGAAAGCUAGGGAGGCAAACA
rnacentral:rRNA from 1 species